rnacentral:tRNA from 1 species
CUGCCGAUGCGGCGGCCUGCGGCGCCGCUUCCGAUACGGCAGCCGGCACGGCGGCAACGGGCGCCGCGUUCGAUGCGCCGCCCGCGGA